AAGAAUAAGCACCGGCUAACUACGUGCCAGCAGCCGCGGUAAUACGUAGGGUGCAAGCGUUAAUCGGAAUUACUGGGCGUAAAGCGUGCGCAGGCGGUUAUCUAAGACAGAUGUGAAAUCCCCGGGCUCAACCUGGGAACUGCAUUUGUGACUGUAUAGCUAGAGUACGGUAGAGGGGGAUGGAAUUCCGCGUGUAGCAGUGAAAUGCGUAGAUAUGCGGAGGAACACCGAUGGCGAAGGCAAUCCCCUGGACCUGUACUGACGCUCAUGCACGAAAGCGUGGGGAGCAAACAGGAUUAGAUACCCUGGUAGUCCACGCCCU
rnacentral:rRNA from 1 species